rnacentral:lncRNA from 1 species
AGGCCAAAUAGAAAAAUAUUAAAAAUUAUAAAGGUACAAUUGAUAAAGAGUUACCUACUCUUGAAUUCAUGAAUACUUGUUGUGCUAUCGACAAGGUGUUUGUGAUGAAUAGGGAUCUCAACCUCACUAAAAAACAUUAGUAUGUUUCUUAAUUUUCAUAGAUGAGGGCUAUGAAGUCCGAUAAAAUAAUGAAAGACAUAAUUAGACAAGUCCUAAUCUAGUUGUGAAUGUCAUCAUGAGUCAUCCGCUUAUAUUGUAUUCUUGUUAUUGUAGAUUAACU